UGGGGAAUAUUGCACAAUGGGCGGAAGCCUGAUGCAGCAACGCCGCGUGCGGGAUGACGGCCUUCGGGUUGUAAACCGCUUUCAGCAGGGACGAAGCGUGAGUGACGGUACCUGCAGAAGAAGCACCGGCUAACUACGUGCCAGCAGCCGCGGUGAUACGUAGGGUGCGAGCGUUGUCCGGAUUUAUUGGGCGUAAAGAGCUUGUAGGCGGUUUGUCGCGUCGGGAGUGAAAACUCAGGGCUUAACCCUGAGCCUGCUUCCGAUACGGGCAGACUUGAGGAAGGUAGGGGAGAAUGGAAUUCCUGGUGAAGCGGUGGAAUGCGUAGAUAUCAGGAGGAACACCAGUGGCGAAGGCGGUUCUCUGGACCUUUCCUGACGCUGAGAAGCGAAAGCGUGGGGAGCAAACAGG
rnacentral:rRNA from 1 species